CUUGCUGAAUGAAAUGGGAAAAACACACACAUACUUAGGGAGUGUGUGUAAGGAGAGGAAUUUCAGGAUCAAGGGAUGCAAGUGGCAGGAUAAAGUAAUCUUUUCAAGUUUUGAAGCCCCCAUAUGCCUACAGGAAUACACUGCUUAGCAAGCCAUGCCAGGCAGUUGCCCCUGGAGCCACAUCACCAUGGCUGAAAACACCACAGGAGCGAUGGCCACAGACUCUGUGCACUGCUGAGCUCUGCUGGAGAAGGAUACAGAGAGAUGAACAAGGAAUUGGUGUUAUGAAAACUCACUGGAACAUUGGAAACAUGUGGAAUAUGGGAAAGAUGAGAAUAGAGUAGCCCAUUCUGGAAAGAAUUCUCAAAUGACACUUUGCUGAGCAAGAAGGCUUCUUUGAUGGGCUAAACGUUCCUGGGCAUGAGAAGGGGAGGAGGAACAGGAGAGGACAGAUGGUUCUCUGGAACAUAUGAAACAAAAAGAAAAUUCAAGAACAUCUUUGAUGGACACGUGUUACAUGGAAACAUCUUUGUUAUAUGCUUAGUUGGGGCACAAUAAUAAAUGCAAAUGGAUCGAGUGUCUUUCAUAACAUUCAGGACAAAUGCUGAAGAGCCCUGUUUAAACAGACAAACAAGCAAGAUCAAGAAACCACUGUUUAAGGUAAGUAGAAAGGACUUUUGAAUGAUUGAUCCUUUCAAUGAGUGGCUCCCUGUGGCUCCGAAUUGUUUAAUAAGAAUAUAAGAAUGAGACUCUUUCUUUUAAUAAGAAUAUAAGAAUGAGACCCCUACACAGUUUCUUCUCUGAGUGAGUCACCAAUAAUUAUGUAGGAAAGCAAGUUCAUCUCACAUUAUCUUGCUCUAUGCACAAAGCAGUCUAGAAAGAAUCCCAGACAGUAUCUACUGUAUCAUGUUUCACACCAGUCCUCAAAAUAACUCUGAAUAAAGUCAUAGAAAGAACCUGAACUGAGAAGACAGAAGUUAUUUCAAAAGCCUUUAGAUUCUGAGAAUCAGCUCUUCUGGCUUUGGUGUUUUUUGUUUUCCUCUGUGGAGCCAUUUCUAGAUGUGCCAUCUGCCCACAUAAUACAUACCGUUCAACAUUGCAGCUGCAAAGUAAAUGAGGGGCCAGGAUGAGGAGCAGAAGUUAACACCUUAAAACCAGAACCACCCUAGAAUCAAUGGUAAAUGGUUAAUGGCUAUGAUGUCUGGAGAAGUCUGUCAGGCCAGACAGAGAACUUGGGCAACAGAUACCCAAGGCUAAAGAGUAAGGACUAUCAGAAUGAACUGUAGAAAAGUAAUGGAGAACAAUUUGCAUGUACAUUUUUUUUUAAUGGGGAAGCUGUAGUAAGAGAGGGACACUUUCUCAAAUAUGAGUGAUGGGUACAUGUAUUCUAGCCAGACAGUGAUGUUUCAGUGGGUCAUUAUUAUGAGAAAAGAAUUAGGCUGGACAAGUUUGUGUGUCUAUUACCCAUGGGAUUCACAAAAAUAGGCUCUAGAGUUCAAUUAAAUAGCUAUCCUAUGGUAAAAUACUCACUGAUGCUUUUGUUCCAUGCUUUUCUUUUUUUCUUUUAAAAGUUUUUGCCUCCCUUUGGUAGCACAGGAUAGAUCUAGGUGUCAUCACUGUUGAACAUCAGAUAUUUCAAGCUUUCUCCAUAUUAGUCCUGCAGAGUAAGGUAUGAAGGAUAGAAUCAGGAUGGUGUCUGCUUCUUUUUGCACAAAAUCCUUUUAAAUUCUAUAAAUCCUGGUCUUGAAAUACUCUCCUGUGGAAAAUACCAAGAGAAAAAAAGAAAACCCCAGGGACAAAAUAAAGGAUGAGACAAAUGAUGGUGAUUUUUAAAUUAUGUUUUUCCCCCUUUGAAAGCUACAUAUCCUCAUACUCACUGUCCACUAAAAAUAUGUUUUGGCCUUUAAAUAAGUGAGUCAGAAUGCUAUCUGGAUAUGCCCCUUCCUCACAAUCAAGCUGUAAAUAUGUUGACUUUUGAAAAAGUUAUGCAUUUUGUACGUCAUUAUGUAAAUGUGGUCAUAGUCUUAGUGUUAAACAGACCUAUUUUCAGAAAAGACUUUCUAAAAUUCCUCCGCAAAAUUUAGCAAAUAAUUACCAAACAGUUUUGUCCCUCUAAAUACCUAUCUAAACAUUGAAACCCUUAAAUUUUCUGGUACAUGUAUGAGGCCUAAUACAAUCAAAUUUAUUUACUGCUCUUCCCUCUCCCCAUCUCAGAGAACAGAAAGCAAAAACACACAAAAAGAUUCCACUGAGACAAGAAUUACAUUCUUCCUCUAAUGACAGUUUGAGCAUGAUCUUUUGAAAUUGUGGUUUUGUUACUGAGUUUAAGCUUGUAUUGCUCCCCAGUGUGACAAGUCAAUAAAUCAAGAAACAAAUUAUUAGGGCAAGGAAUAGCCACCUUAUUUGGAAAGCCAGCAGAUUGAAGAGAUGUUGGACUAGUGUCUCAACCAUUUUUAUCUGAGUUAGAAUUAGGAAGCUUUUAUUACUAAAAGGUGAGGAGCAUGGCUGGUUGUUGUAAACUUCUGAAUACUGGAAUUCUUGUGGUCUUGCAACUGUCUAUACAUAUCUGGACACGGUGUUCUUAUAGAUAAGACAAUUGUUAUUUUCUGUUUUGCAACUUCUUAUUUCUAUGUGAAUGGAAAAUUGUGAUUCCUUGAAAGGUCAGAGCCUUGAGAAUGGUCUAUCAUUUAUAUUUCAGGCUGUAGGAAACAUUCUUUUACAAAGAGUCAGGGCCACUAUGGCCAAGUGAAGAUAGCCAAGCUCUUGCAAAGGUGGAAACCACGGGAAUGGGUCCAAUAUGGAGUCAGGUUUGUUCUUCUCUGUUACAGUUUUGCUGUAACAAGUGUUAUUGGAUCUUGGGUUAGUGAAUAUUAGAGAACAGGAAUACGGAUAAGGUGUUCAGUAGUCCAUCCUCCACACCUUCCAUACUUGGCCACAUUGAGAAAACUCAUUGGUCGUGACUGUAAAGUAGUAUAGCAUUAGGUUUCACAAACUUGAAGAAUAUGGUGGAUAAAAAAGAAUCAUGUAUCUUUUCCAAUUCUGUCUCUUACUAGCCUUGUGACUUAGAGUUUAAGUUUCCUAAUCUACUAAUGAGAGAUAACCUUUUUUUCUCUGAAAAGUUUUUUUUUUUUUGAAAAUUAAGGAUUCAAAGCAUUUAAACAUACUUACUCUAGAGCCUGGGACAGCCUAACUAACUGGUUAGUAGCUGUUGUUUAACUUUAUGUCCAGACAAAAAUUUAAUAUCCCUGUCCAAUAUGGUUAGUCUUUAAAACAAUUUUGUUUCAUUUUACAAGUGGAAAAAUAAUGUUACAGGAAAAUUGAUAGUUAGAAAAUUAUUCAAAUAGCUCCCUAUUAUUUAUUCCAUGACACGUAAAAAAAUUUAGAGUAUUUUUUCCAGCAUUUAUUCAUUAUCACAUAAUGUUCCAUUUUUUUUCUUGGUAAUCAUUCUGUACACACAGCUGGCAUACUCUUUUACAUACUGUUUUCUGUAUUGUUUCAUAACCAUGAAAUUUUGACAUCCACAGAAAGCUUCAUAUCACAAAAACACAUUUAAUAUUUAAAAUGUUUUCUUUUUGAAAUUUCAAAAAUUUACUUAAAACAAAUGUACUUGUAACAACUACCCUUAUGUAUCAAGUAAAAUGAGUUUAUUGAUUUAUACUAUGCAUGGAUUAGUAUAUCACAUCCUUGCUACAGAGCUUUUUAGUUUAUCUUUUCAGUGUAAAGCAAUUAAAGUUAUGUAGAGUUAAAAAUGUAUUAUGUUUGGAAUAUCUUGCAGAUAAAAUAAAUACCGAACAGAUAGCACAAAGCCCUGCAUACACUAACGAAUGCAUUGUAUAUGGCAAUGAUGGACUUAACCUGGAGGUAAAUUACUCAUCCUGCCUGAUUAUCUGAAAACAUUAACCAAGCAAAAGUAGUUGCUGAUAAUAUACAAUAUAUUUUCCAGCAGAUUUUUGUCCUUGAUAAGAGAUUUUGAUAAAUCUGUUUAUCAAAGACAAUUUUAUUUCUCUUCCCAUUCUUUUUAAAACACUAUCUAUGGAAGGAAUUCUUCAUCUAAGAUCCAUGGGCCAUGAUGGGAGUGGGGGUUAUGGAUGGAUACUGCUUAAAAUUGUGUCCAAAUCUAGGAUUUAUACCCGUGUGUUUUGGUCUCAGGAGAAUGACUGGACUUCAUAGGAUCUAGUGCUGAAUUUGGUGGUAUCUCACUUUACUUACAGCUGUAAAGUAAUGCACUCUAGAAUGAUCUGUAGGUUCUUUCUUGUGUUUGGAAGUGUGUGUGUGCAUGCUAAGUUUAGCCCUACCCUUCCUUUCUUAUCAGUAGGAAAGGAACUAGAGGGAUUUGGAGUGGGCUGUUGGAAAACAAACAAGAAAACCCCAAACCAGUGUCUUCCUCAGUGGCAGAAUGUCCAGGGCACAUGUUGUUCUUCACAUUUCUCUUCCUCGUAUUGAAACAAAAAUACAUAUGUUUCUCUUUGGAGGGACUCACAGCUUCCGAAAAUGAAGGGAAUGUGCCUAGUUAGCCAACAUCACCUUCUCUUCUCUAAACUUGCAAAAAGUUGAAUCUCAAAUCUAUACAUUGUAAACACUCCUUUCUUCUACUUAUUUUUAGGUUUUUAUUUUUCUAUUAUAGUUGAUUCUACAUUGUUUUGUCAGUUUCUGCUAUAUAGCAAAGUGACCCAGUCAUAUAUAUAUAUAUAUAUGCAUAUAUACAUUCACACAUAUAUACAUCCAUAUAUAUAUAUACAUUCACACACACACACAUAUAUAUACACAUUUCUUUUUCUCGCAUUAUCCUCCAUCAUGUUUUAUCACAAGUGGCUAGAUAUAGUUCCUAGUGCUACACAACAGGAUCUCAUCUACUCCAAAUGCAAUAGUUUACAUCUACUAACCCCUAACUCUCAGUCCAUCUCAUUCCCUCCCCCUUGGCAACCCCAAAUCUGUUCUCUAAGUCCAUGAUUUUAUUUCUCCUCUGUAGAUAGGUUCAUUUGUCCUGUAUAUUAAAUUCCAGAUAUAAGCAAUAUCAUAUGGUAUUUGUCUUUAUCCUUCUGACUUACUUCACUUAGUAUGAGAGUCAUCCAUGUUGCUACAAAUGGCAUUAUUUUGUUCUUUUUAUGGCUGAGUAGUAUUCCAUUGUGUAUAUAUACCACAUCUUCUUAAUCCAUUCAUCUGUCAAUGGACAUUUAAGUUGUUUCUAUGUCUUGUCUAUAGUGAAUCAUGCUCCAGUGAACAUAGGGGUGCAAGUAUCUUUUCCAGUGAAAGUUUUAUCCAAUUAUAUGCCCAAGAGUAGGAUUGCUGGGUCAUUUGGUAGUUCUAUAUUUAGUUUUCUGGGGUACCUCCAUACUGUUUUCCAUAGUGUUUGUACCAAUUUACAUUCCCACCAGCAGUGCAGGAGAGUGCUCUUUUCUCCACACCCUCUCCAGCAUUUGCUAUUUGUUGACUUGUUAAUGACGACCAUUCUGACUUUUGUGAGGUGGCACCUUGGGAAAAUAGGACAUCUACAUGUUAAUCAAUGAAACUAGAACACAGCCUCACACCAUGCAGAAAAAUAAAUUCAAAAUGGCUUAACAACUUAAACAUAGGACAAGACACAAAACUCCUAGAAGGGAACAUAGGCAAAACAUUCUCUGACAUCAGCCAUACAAAUAUUUUCUUAGGUCAGUCUCCCAAGGCAACAGAACUGAAAACAAACAAAAAAUCAGUGAGACCUAAUCAGUCUUCUACUUUUUGAAAUAAUAAUAUCUGUGCAUCUAUCUAUGAUUUCAUUUUUGUCUUUUCCAUUUCACAACAUUAAAAAUGUUUAAAUUGCUGAGUAUAUAAGGCUAUUUUCUAAAAUUCAAAGAAUUUGUCCUAUAUUUCUUGAACAUACAAUCAACCAGGAAACAUUAAUUUUUAUUUUAGCACUGAGUUAAGAUUAGCAAAUUGUAGAGGCUUCUUCUUUCUUUUUUUAAAUUUAUAUAUUACUCAAUGAAUUUAUUAUAUCUAUAGUUGUACAAUGAUCAUCACAAUCCAGUUUUCCAUCCCACACCCACAGUGCUUCCCCCCCAGUGCUUCUCCCCAGUGCUUUCCAUCCUACACCCCGAGUGUUUCCCUAAACCUCUCUCUUUUGGAAACCAUAAGGUUUUCAAAGUCUGUGAGUCAGUAUCUGUUCUGCAAAGUUAAUUGUGGCCUUUUUUCAGAUUCCAUAUGUCAGUAAAGGCUUUUAAUAUUGGUGUCUCAUUGUCUGACUUCACUAUCACUAGCAUGAUAAUUUCUCUGUCCAUCAUGUUGCUAAAAAUGCCAUUAUUUCAUUUCUUUUGAUGGCUGAGUAAUAUUCCAUUGUGUAUAUGUACCACAUCUUUAUCCAAUCCUCUGUUGAUGGAUAUUUAGGUUGUUUCCAUGUCUUGGCUAUUGAAAAUAGUGCUGCAAUGAACAUUGGAGUACAUGUGUUUUUUCGAGUCAUGGUUUUCUCUGGAUAGAUGCCUAGGAGUGGGAUGGCUGGAUCAAAUGGUAGUUCCAUGUUUAGUUUUCUGAGGAAUCGCCAUACUGUUUUCAAUAGUGGUUGCCCCUAUUUACAAUCCCACCAACAGUGUAAUAGGGUUCCUUUUUCUUCACACCCUCUAUAGCACUUACUGUUUGUAGACUUUUUGAUGAUGGCCAUUCUGGCUUGGUGGAAGGUGGUACCUCAGAGUGGUUUUGAUUUGCAUUUCUCUAAUAAUGAGUGAUGUUGAACAUCUUGUCAUGUGUUUUUUGGCCAUCUGUAUGUCUUGUUUGGAGAACUGUCUGUUUAGAUCUUCUGCCCAUUUUUUGAUGGGGUUGUUUGUUUUUUUGGUAUUGAGCUGUAGGAGGUGUUCAUAAAUUUUUGAGAUUAUUCCCUUGUCAGUCAAUUCAUUUGCAAAUAUCUUCUCCCAUUCUGUGGGUUGUCUUUUCACACACACCUACAGUCAACUAAUCUAUGACCAAGGAGACAAGAAUAUACAAUGGAGAAAAGACAGCCUGUUCAAUAAGUGGUGCUUGGAAAACUGGACAGCCACAUGGAAAAGAAUGAAAUUAGAACACUCCCUAACACCAUACACAAACAUAAAUUCAAAAUGGAUUAAAGACCUAGAUAUAAGACCAGAUACUAUAAAACUCUUAGAGGAAAACAUAGGCCAAACGCUCUCUGACAUAAAUGACAACAACAUCUUCUCAGGUCCACCUAUUAGAGUAAUGACAGUAAAAACAUAAAUAAAUGGGACUUAAUUAAACUUAAAAGUUUCUUCACAGCAAAGGAAACCCUAAACAAAAUGAAAAGACAAUCUAUUUUAUUUCUUUAUUUUUUUAGGUCCUCACCCAUGGCAUAUGGAGGUUCCCAGGCUAGGGAUCCAGUCAAAGCUGUAGCCACCAGUCUACACCAGAGCCACAGCCACUGGGGAUCUGAGCCAUGUCUGUAAUCUACACCACAGCUCACAGCAAUGCCAGAUCCUUAAGCCACUGAGCAAGGCCAAGGAUCAAACCCACAUCCUCAUGGUUGCUAGUUGGGUUUGUUAACUACUGAGAGGCUUCUAUUUUCAAUGUUAUUUUAUUUACAGGGGAGGAAGCCCAGAGAUACUAGGUAACUUGCCAGAAACCUCAAAGCCAGUACCUGGUAAAACAGAGUUACUCCAGGUUUUUCUGAUUCUUAUGCCUUGACUCUUUCCAAAUUUUACCUUUUCCUUGAACAUACUAAAGAUUCUUUUAAGAUCACAUGGCAGAAAGUGCAUAUGCUGGUGUGCCCAAGGAAAUAAAAUGGGCAAAGCCUGAGGUGGUUAAACUGGUCUCAGUCAGGGCUGGAAACACACCACUGAGCAUAAGCCACCUUGGUCAAUUCAAUGUCGGUGUGUUGGGAAAAGCAAUUGUCUUAAAAGUCUACAAAGUAAUGCUUUAUUUACCUGAUCCAGGGCCUCUGAGUUAUGCAAAAGAAUACUCUAUAAAAGAAUCACAUCAUUGGUAUUUGAGAUGUGUUUAUUAUCUUGGCAAAUAGAUCUACUUAGAUACAAGGUUUGCUCUUCAAACUUGGACCUAGCCACACUUUGAUUUAUCUAAAAUAUCCCUCCAAAGUGAGAACUCAUUCACUCUUAAUGAUUCUCCUAUAAAUUUGUUUAUGGGUGAUUUCAGCUAUGAGGUGUCAACUGGGACACAGAUUUAAUGAACAUGGGUAGGGUAAAUCUUCCAUUACAGAGGACAAAUGAGGCAUUUUGUUCAAGACAAUUUACUAAGUAUGUCCUAUAUAAUGAGAUCUGCAUUGUAACAAAGCGAGCAUGUGUCUCCUGUUUGGUUUAGAAAAGAGCUGUAUCAGAGUUGGUGGAUGACCAUAGCAGCUUUUACAGUGGUGCUGUUGGUGUUGUAAUUUGACAAGCUUUCAGAAUAGCCUGGCGCCAGACUCACUUUUGUCAAUGCUAAAUUAAGGGUUCUUCAUAACUGGAAAGCAAUCACUUAUGUAAGCCAGCAUACAGAUCUAAGAAUGGUGGGGGGUGGGGAACUGCUGUAAUAACAAUGAUAAACACAAGGAGCUGCAAAAGGACAAACAUUAAUAUGUUAAAAAAAGACUUCAAAAUCCUAGAAUGUGGGGAAGGAAAGUAAAAUCUAAAGUCUUUUUUUUUUUUUUUUAAUAAUGUGUUUGAGACUUACGACUAUCAGGCUAAAGCAAGCAGAUACAGGAAGGGGUUAACAUACUUAAAAAACAGGGCAGCCACAAAUCAAAACCAAAUAUUACAUUCACAAAAACUAGAAAGAAAAGUACACAAGCAUAAAAUAAAUAG
rnacentral:lncRNA from 1 species